UCAUCAGUGCAUUCUCAGGGCCCAGUAAAGUAAUCAGGAGGUGCUACAUCAAAAGUACAUUCUCAGGGCCCAGUAAAGUAAUCAGGAGGUGCUACAUCAUCAGUACAUUCUCAGAGCCCAGUAAAGUAAUCAGGAGGUGCUACAUCAUCAGUGCAUUCUCAGGGCCCAGUAAAGUAAUCAGGAGGUGCUACAUCAUCAGUACAUUCUCAGGGCCCAGUAAAGUAACCAUGAGGUGCUACAUCAUCAGUGCAUUCUCAGGGCCCAGUAAAGUAAUCAGGAGGUGCUACAUCAAAAGUACAUUCUCAGGGCCCAGUAAAGUAAUCAGGAGGUGCUACAUCAUCAGUACAUUCUCAGGGUCCAGUAAAGUAACCAGGAGGUGCUACAUCAUCAGUGCAUUCUCAGGGCCCAGUAAAGUAACCAGGAGGUGCUACAUCAU